AGCGAACGCUGGCGGCAGGCCUAACACAUGCAAGUCGAACGGACCCUUCGGGGUUAGUGGCGGACGGGUGAGUAACACGUGGGAACGUGCCUUUAGGUUCGGAAUAGCUCCUGGAAACGGGUGGUAAUGCCGAAUGUGCCCUUCGGGGGAAAGAUUUAUCGCCUUUAGAGCGGCCCGCGUCUGAUUAGCUAGUUGGUGAGGUAACGGCUCACCAAGGCGACGAUCAGUAGCUGGUCUGAGAGGAUGACCAGCCACACUGGGACUGAGACACGGCCCAGACUCCUACGGGAGGCAGCAGUGGGGAAUCUUGCGCAAUGGGCAAAAGCCUGACGCAGCCAUGCCGCGUGAAUGAUGAAGGUCUUAGGAUUGUAAAAUUCUUUCACCGGGGACGAUAAUGACGGUACCCGGAGAAGAAGCCCCGGCUAACUUCGUG
rnacentral:rRNA from 1 species